rnacentral:rRNA from 1 species
GAUGAACGCUGGCGGCGUGCCUAAUACAUGCAAGUCGAGCGAACAGACGAGGAGCUUGCUCCUCUGACGUUAGCGGCGGACGGGUGAGUAACACGUGGAUCACCUACCUAUAAGACUGGGAUAACUUCGGGAAACCGGAGCUAAUACCGGAUAAUAUAUUGAACCGCAUGGUUCAAUAGUGAAAGACGGUUUUGCUGUCACUUAUAGAUGGAUCCGCGCCGCAUUAGCUAGUUGGUAAGGUAACGGCUUACCAAGGCGACGAUGCGUAGCCGACCUGAGAGGGUGGUCGGCCACACUGGAACUGAGACAGGGUCCAGACUCCUACGGGAGGCAGCAGUAGGGAAUGUUCCGCAAUGGGCGAAAGCCUGACGGAGCAACGCCGCGUGAGUGAUGAAGGUCUUCGGAUCGGAAAACUCUGUUACUAGGGAAGAACAAAUGUGUAAGUAACUAUGCACGUCUUGACGGUACCUAAUCAGAAAGCCACGGCUAACUACGUG